ACGGAGGGGGCAAGCGUUAUUCGGAAUUACUGGGUUUAAAGGGUGCGUAGGCGGUUAAGUAAGUUGGCAGUGAAAGGCCUCGGCUCAACUGGAGAAGUGCUGGGGAUACUGUAUGACUAGAGAACUGGAGAGGUAAGUGGAAUUCGGGGUGUAGCGGUGAAAUGCGUAGAGAUCGCGAGGAACACCAGAGGCGAAGGCGGCGUACUGGACUGUAGCUGACGCUGAGGCGCGAAAGCGUGGGGAGCAAACAG
rnacentral:rRNA from 1 species